UAAGUAGUCUGAUGAUUUGGUUCCCUGCAUUGUUUGCUUCCGAUCAAUUUCAUACUCAACGCUGUCAAGGAAAUUUUAGCAUUGUGAAGGGGUGACUGACCGCAUCUGUAUGACUUGGGCAGGACUUUGUGUGACUUGCCAAUUGCCGGUUUCGGGGUGGACCUCGUCCGCGGCAACAAAACCUUGAGCCUAAUCAAGGAGCACGGUCUUCCUGAGGGGAAGACUUUGUUUGCCGGAGUGGUGGACGGAAGGAACAUCUGGGCCAACGACUUGGCUGCCUCUGUGGCCGUGGUUGAGGAAUUGCAGGCUAAGCUUGGGAAGGAUAACGUAGUUGUCUCAACCUCAUGCUCCUUGCUCCAUUCCGCAGUGGACCUCAAGAACGAGACAAAGUUGGAUAGCGAAUUGAAGUCCUGGAUGGCAUUCGCCGCACAGAAGCUGCUGGAGGUAGUGGCGGUCGCUAAGGCCGUGUCGG
rnacentral:lncRNA from 1 species